UACGUAGGGUGCGAGCGUUGUCCGGAAUUAUUGGGCGUAAAGGGCUCGUAGGCGGUCUGUCGCGUCGGGAGUGAAAACUCAGGGCUUAACCCUGAGCCUGCUUCCGAUACGGGCAGACUAGAGGUAUGCAGGGGAGAACGGAAUUCCUGGUGUAGCGGUGGAAUGCGCAGAUAUCAGGAGGAACACCGGUGGCGAAGGCGGCUCUCUGGGACGGUACUGACGCUGAGACGCGAAAGCGUGGGGAGCGAACAGG
rnacentral:rRNA from 1 species